rnacentral:rRNA from 1 species
CCGAUAAGACUGGGAAUAACCUCCGGAAACGGGAAGCUAAUUCCGGAUACGUUGGCGUCUCGCAUGGGGCGUCAUGGAAAGACGGAGCAAUCUGUCACUUAUCGAUGGGCCUGCGGCGCAUUAGCUAGUAGGUGGGGUAACGGCUCACCUAGGCGACGAUGCGUAGCCGACCUGAGAGGGUGAACGGCCACACUGGGACUGAGACACGGCCCAGACUCCUACGGGAGGCAGCAGUAGGGAAUCUUCGGCAAUGGACGCAAGUCUGACCGAGCAACGCCGCGUGAGUGAAGAAGGGUUUCGGCUCGUAAAACUCUGUUGCCAAGGAAGAACGCUGAGUAGAGUAACUGCUAUUCAGGUGACGGUACUUGAGAAGAAAGCCCCGGCUAACUACGUGCCAGCAGCCGCGGUAAUACGUAGGGGGCAAGCGUUGUCCGGAAUUAUUGGGCGUAAAGCGCGCGCAGGCGGUUUUUUAAGUCUGGUGUUUAAACCUAGGGCUCAACCUUGGGUCGCACUGGAAACUGGGGAACUGGAGUGCAGGAGAGGAAAGUGGAAUUCCACGUGUAGCGGUGAAAUGCGUAGAGAUGUGGAGGAACACCAGUGGCGAAGGCGACUUUCUGGCCUGUAACUGACGCUGAGGCGCGAAAGCGUGGGGAGCAAACAGGAUUAGAUACCCUGGUAGUCCACGCCGUAAACGAUGCAUGCUAGGUGUUAGGGGUUUCGAUACCCUUGGUGCCGAAGUAAACACAGUAAGCAUGCCGCCUGGGGAGUACGCUCGCAAGAGUGAAACUCAAAGGAAUUGA